UACGUAGGGUGCGAGCGUUAAUCGGAAUUACUGGGCGUAAAGCGUGCGCAGGCGGUUCGUUAAGUUCGAUGUGAAAGCCCCGGGCUCAACCUGGGAACUGCAUUGGAAACUGGCGAGCUUGAGUAUGGCAGAGGGGGGUGGAAUUCCGCGUGUAGCAGUGAAAUGCGUAGAUAUCUGGAGGAACACCGGUGGCGAAGGCGGCAUCCUGGACCGGUAUUGACGCUGAGGCGCGAAAGCCAGGGGAGCAAACGGG
rnacentral:rRNA from 1 species